rnacentral:rRNA from 1 species
GACGAACGCUGGCGGCGUGCCUAAUACAUGCAAGUAGGACGCAGUUGCGAACGGGUGAGUAACGCGUAGGUAACUGCCUAUUAGAGGGGGCUAACUAUUGGAAACGAUAGCUAAUACCGCAUACUAGUAGAUGGACCUGCGUUGUAUUAGAUAGUAGGUAGGGUAAUGGCCUACCUAGGCAACGAUGCCUAGCAGGCCUGAGAGGGUGGUCGGCGACACUGGGACUGGGGCAAGGGCGAAACGCCUAAGGGAGGCAGCCGUAGGGGAGCUUGGGGAAUGGGGGGAACCCUGACAGAGCAAAGCCGCGUGAGGGAAGAGGGUGUUGGGGUCGUAAAGCGAUGUUGUUAAGGGAGCGGUACUUAAACAGAAAGGGACGGCUAACUACGUGCCAGCAGCCGCGGUAAUAC